GUAGAAAGCAGCGCCUCCUGCUUGGAUGGAUGGCUUUGACUGGACUUUCUCGUGGGGGCGGGAGGGGGGAGGAAGGGAUGGAUGGGAGUGGUUAGGAACAGUAAAGUUGUGUGUGUGUGUGUGUGUGUGUGUGCGCGCGCGCGCGCGUGUGUGUGUGUGUGUGUGUGGUGUGUGUGUGUGUGUGAUAGAGAGAGAGAGAGAGAGAGAGAGAGAGAGAGAGAGAGAGAGACAGACAGACAGACAGAGACAGAGAGAGACAGACAGACAGACACGGGGGGGAGGGGGAGGGCUCUUUUUGGCUCCCUUUGCAUCUUGGUUUCUUCUAAGCUUCUGAGUAUCUCAAACUAGCCGAGAUCACUGGCCAUCUAGACUCCUUGCAGAGUCUGAGGAAAUUUGGCCUCGUUUUUCUGGGGCUGGGGAAUGAGCUCCGGAGGUCAAUAAAGCCCUCCAAAAAUGAUGAAUGAUUGAGCACCUGUGAUGAUAAUAGUGAUUACCAGAGCAAUUAAACAGUUUGAUUAAAUGAGCCAUCAUAACAAUGAUGUCUGCGGGAAAUCGGCCCUCACAUAUAAAGACAGUGUGGAGGGGCUGGCAGAGGCGCUGAGAGCGCGCCGGGAGAAGGGAUGCGGCCCGCGCGGAUUUGGCUCCAUGAGCCAAAGCAGGGGCGGCGGGCUCAGGGAGUUUCUGGGGGCAGUCUAGCCUAGGGUUUCGGUCUCUCUUUCUGCCUGGCUUCAAGCCUAAGACAACCAACUCGUCUGGAACCCGAGGGGCCAUAGGGUCCUUUCCUCCUCCUCUCCUCUUCCCCUCCUUUUUUUCCUCCCUAGAAGAACUCCAAGAUUACAAAUACCCACUUCAUUUGAUGCUGAGUUACUCGUCGACACAUAAGAAAAGGUUCAAAGCAAUAGACCUGUCCAAUUUGGGAAUAAAACUGUCAAAACUAUGUGCUACAAGUGUGCCAUCACGCUUAUAAAUUGUCUCAGGUUAAACAUGAGAGCUGGAGAGAUGACUCAGUGGGGGAAGCACUUGAUUUGAAAGCACCAAGACCUGAGUUCAGACUCCCAGAACCCAGAUAAAGCUUGACACACUAUCACAUCUAUAAUCCCAGUGUUCCUAUGGCAAGAAGACAGGUGGGAAUGGGGCAAUUCCCAGCAACUCUUUGGCCAACUAGCCUCCUGUGACAGUGCUAGAGACCCUUUCUCAAAAAAGCUGCAAGGUUUUGCAAGAAGAAGCUGCUUGUUCUUUAGGCAGGUGGCUCCCUGUGCUGCAGUUGAGGAGCUUCAAUCAUCACUGACAAGCCCACAAUCCACAAAGUCCUGGGUGUCUCCUCCAGCUAUCGCUGUCUGAAGCUUUUCAAAGGUUUUUGUAGUCCUCUUAGGUCGCUUUUCAUGCAUUCCACAAUGUAAAUGGAAAAGUUCAUCCACACUGACAUGAAGAGCUCCAUUUUGCUGGAACUUUUUGCUUUUUCACCAGAAAUAAUCCUUUCUUUCUUUUGUGUAAGGCUCAGGCUCAUCUACAAAUUCUUGGACUCUUUCUUAGAGAUGCAUAGCCCAGCAAAAUUGAAGCCUCUCCCCCUGAAAUAGACAUCAACCAACAAGUGUGUGCUGCUUUUAAAACCAAGGACAGGUUGUUGGAAAGAAUGAACUUUCUAAGUGGCAAUGUAGAAACAGUAAGCUGGGACCAAGAAGAGUCACUCAUCAACCACUCCUGUUGUUUUUAGGUAGACUUACUAUGCUUUAAAAAUUGUAUUAUUUCAAUAAAACAAUCUACAAAUAAAUACAAAACAAAAGGGCACGUGUAGGGACACAUUGAAAGGAAGCAUGCAUACCAAAAAGCUAAGUGCAAAUUGGAUUUGAAUAUUCAUGAGUCACAAAUCAUUGACAGUUUGAAACAAUGCAAAACAGCUUUAUAAAUGAGGUUAAGGCAAGGGACACCAAAGGAAUGCAUCAUUAAAUCAAUAGAAGUUUGUGUAUGUACUUGUAAAUUGUGGUUACAGUGUUUGUGACAUGGGAGAAAAAAUACUGUGGAUCUGAUGAAGAGGGUUGACACAUAAAUAUUCCCUCUGCAUGUUAUAUUUUUGCAGUUCAUCAUGUGCUUGGAACUGAGCCAGGUAGAGAGUGGUUGGACAUUGUACUUCCUGCUCAAGAAAGAGUUUCCUUGUGCAGACAGUGAGUUUCAGACCUCUGCCUGGACAGUCUUUAUUUGCCCUGCUAAAAAGUAUUAAACAUACAACCAUUCACACAGUUGAUUCCUAAAGCAGAGGUUAGCACGUAGCAUACAUAACUUUGGAGAAUGACAGCCUUAAAUCAGUUCGUGGGAGCUCCCACCAGAGAGCACGGGAUCUUAGAGAAUGCUCUAAUGCUUAGAAGGGCACAGAGGGGAAAAAUAGCUUUGUGAAGAGUUUGUAAGAAUCUCUUGAUAACAAAGCAAGAACAUUCGCUAACAAUGAGAAAUCAUACAGUGAAAUAAUUGAAGUUGCAAAAUGUUGGCAACCCAGCAGUUCUAUUGGAAGUGUUUUUGUUUUGUUCAGCAGUGACUCUUCACUUGUAGGACCCCGACUGUGGCUGUAGGGAACACGUAGCCUGUGGUUGGAGUCAUAUUUGAGACAGUAGGACUUACAAACCUAAGCCAUCUUAGGGCUUGUGUUAACAUAGGGACACUUCUAAGUUAAGCAGCUUCUCUUAGAAGCUUACUUUGGGUGAUCUGUAAGUUAUGAAGCAUUUCUCUAAGAUGCUGCUCAGCAAAUCUCUUUCUCAUAUCCCAUCUCCGGUUCUUGGAUGAUGGCUGAAGUGGGUGCCACAGCAUGAAAAUCAGGGUGCACAUGGUACCAAUUUGGAAGAAGCUGAAGAAUGUGGUCGGUUUAGAAAAUUCUUCUAUAUCUUUUUGCUGGGCCAUCCUUUAAGGCAGACAUUCAAAUUCAGGAUCUACAAUUCAGCUGAGACAUGACUCAUGAGAAAGAGAUGUCAGCAUUUCUCCAGUUCACUGCCAUGUAGACAAAGAAGCUAACGUGACCCAUGUGUUAACCAUAAUCAAGGACAGCCAUAAGAAAACAAUACAAACAAUAACUUAAUUUUUAAUGAAUGAUUUUUUUUUUUUGUGACCGGGCAAGGUUUCAUAUAUACCUACACUGGACUCAAAUGAAUUUUCUUGUGGCUAAGGAGGUGAUUCAGUGGGUAACAGUGCUUGUAUGUAACCAUGAG
rnacentral:lncRNA from 1 species